rnacentral:rRNA from 1 species
AUUGAACGCUGGCGGCAGGCCUAACACAUGCAAGUCGAGCGGUAGCACAGAGAGCUUGCUCUCGGGUGACGAGCGGCGGACGGGUGAGUAAUGUCUGGGAAACUGCCUGAUGGAGGGGGAUAACUACUGGAAACGGUAGCUAAUACCGCAUAACGUCGCAAGACCAAAGUGGGGGACCUUCGGGCCUCAUGCCAUCAGAUGUGCCCAGAUGGGAUUAGCUAGUAGGUGGGGUAAUGGCUCACCUAGGCGACGAUCCCUAGCUGGUCUGAGAGGAUGACCAGCCACACUGGAACUGAGACACGGUCCAGACUCCUACGGGAGGCAGCAGUGGGGAAUAUUGCACAAUGGGCGCAAGCCUGAUGCGGCCAUGCCGCGUGUGUGAAGAAGGCCUUCGGGUUGUAAAGCACUUUCAGCGGGGAGGAAGGCGAUAAGGUUAAUAACCUCAUCGAUUGACGUUACCCGCAGAAGAAGCACCGGCUAACUCCGUGCCAGCAGCCGCGGUAAUACGGAGGGUGCAAGCGUUAAUCGGAAUUACUGGGCGUAAAGCGCACGCAGGCGGUCUGUCAAGUCGGAUGUGAAAUCCCCGGGCUCAACCUGGGAACUGCAUUCGAAACUGGCUGGCUAGAGUCUUGUAGAGGGGGGUAGAAUUCCAGGUGUAGCGGUGAAAUGCGUAGAGAUCUGGAGGAAUACCGGUGGCGAAGGCGGCCCCCUGGACAAAGACUGACGCUCAGGUGCGAAAGCGUGGGGAGCAAACAGGAUUAGAUACCCUGGUAGUCCACGCCGUAAACGAUGUCGAUUUGGAGGUUGUGCCCUUGAGGCGUGGCUUCCGGAGCUAACGCGUUAAAUCGACCGCCUGGGGAGUACGGCCGCAAGGUUAAAACUCAAAUGAAUUGACGGGGGCCCGCACAAGCGGUGGAGCAUGUGGUUUAAUUCGAUGCAACGCGAAGAACCUUACCUGGUCUUGACAUCCACAGAACUUUCCAGAGAUGGAUUGGUGCCUUCGGGAACUGUGAGACAGGUGCUGCAUGGCUGUCGUCAGCUCGUGUUGUGAAAUGUUGGGUUAAGUCCCGCAACGAGCGCAACCCUUAUCCUUUGUUGCCAGCGGUCCGGCCGGGAACUCAAAGGAGACUGCCAGUGAUAAACUGGAGGAAGGUGGGGAUGACGUCAAGUCAUCAUGGCCCUUACGACCAGGGCUACACACGUGCUACAAUGGCAUAUACAAAGAGAAGCGACCUCGCGAGAGCAAGCGGACCUCAUAAAGUAUGUCGUAGUCCGGAUUGGAGUCUGCAACUCGACUCCAUGAAGUCGGAAUCGCUAGUAAUCGUAGAUCAGAAUGCUACGGUGAAUACGUUCCCGGGCCU